rnacentral:rRNA from 1 species
UACGUAGGGUCCGAGCGUUGUCCGGAAUUAUUGGGCGUAAAGGGCUCGUAGGCGGUCUGUCGCGUCGGGAGUGAAAACUUACAGCUUAACUGUGAGCGUGCUUCCGAUACGGGCAGACUUGAGGUAUUCAGGGGAGAACGGAAUUCCUGGUGUAGCGGUGAAAUGCGCAGAUAUCAGGAGGAACACCGGUGGCGAAGGCGGUUCUCUGGGAAUAUCCUGACGCUGAGGAGCGAAAGCGUGGGGAGCAAACAGG